CACCGUACAUAGAGGCUAUAGCCCAACCCUUUUCCUCCUAUUAUUCCCGCCAAAAUCUCCCGUUCAUACGAUUCCCCAGAGUAAGAACGUCAUCUCGCCUUCAAUACUUGCAACUCAGAUCAGCAGCUAAAGAAAUGGACAACGGCGGCGGCGGCAGUGCAGCGCCCACCGGAUGCUACAAGUGCGGCCGCCCGGGCCACUGGUCCCGAGAUUGCCCUUCACAUCCCAACCAAAACCCUAAUCCAUCGUCCUCCAUUUACCCGAAACCCAAUUCGUCCAACUUCAAGUCCACCGGCGACGGAACUGUUGAAGGUGGUUCAAAACCAUUGCAGAAGUCCACCGAAAAGCCCAAGAAGGUACCCAGAUCGAGGCCCAAGCUCACCCCUGACCUUCUUCUCUCCAACGAUGGAAUCGGUUACGUCCUUCGCCACUUCCCUAGGGCUUUCAAGUAUCGCGGCCGCGGACAAGAGGUUAGUGAUUUGGGGAAUUUAAUUGGGCUUUAUGCUGAAUGGCAUUCACAUCUGCUUCCUUACUACUCAUUUGAUCAAUUCGUACACAAGGUGGAACAAGUCGGUGCCACGAGACGUGUCAAGACAUGCCUGGGAGGACUACGGGAUAGAGUUGCCAAUGGAGGUGACCCAACAAAGCUACACGAAACCCCUGCUGUACACAACAUCUCAAAUGCUGAUGAAGUUGUACAAGAUAUGAACAUAGAGGAGCCAUCUCUCGUACAGCAAGGUACAUCUUUGAAGAACCAUUGCACUGAUGAUUUCCAGGAAGACAUGCUUCAAGAGAUUUACGAGCAGGGUACUGAUGAAAUGAAAAAAUCUACAAGGUUGGAAAUUCAGAUUAAAUUGCUUGAUUAGAAUGAGAAGGCUGUGACUUCGCGGAACAGAAAAGCAAAAAAGCUGUCUUGCAUCUAUAUUCUAAGAGCCUUGGACGUAGGAUAAGAAUACUGUGUAAUGGUCCUUUUUGAUUCCCUUAUGGAGCUUCUGCGAUAUCUGUCGCAUAUUUAGAUGUCGAAUUUCAUUUCAUAUUUCUCAGGUGUAGCAUCUGUGCCUCUAACAAAUUGUGGGCAAAUGAACAUCCAUCUAUUGGGAGGAUACGAGCUGUCUCCAGCAAUGCAUAGCGAUGCUGUUGCUACAGAUCAUAUCUCUUCUCGUCAUCGCUCCAUGGAUGAUAUAUCAAAUCAAGCUAAGGAAACCCGAGGUAGCAUUACUAGGGAAAUACAGGUCUCAGAAGA